GCAUUGCUGUGAUUAAUUAUGAAUUUUCGCAUGUCAGACUUCAGAGAUGCCUCUGGCUUCAAUGAGAAGUCAUAUCAUAUGACUCAGCAAUUA
rfam:Triticum urartu cultivar G1812 contig815232, whole genome shotgun sequence.